GGUUAAGCGACUAAGCGUACACGGUGGAUGCCCUGGCAGUCAGAGGCGAUGAAGGACGUGCUAAUCUGCGAAAAGCGUCGGUAAGGUGAUAUGAACCGUUAUAACCGGCGAUGUCCGAAUGGGGAAACCCAGUGCAAUUCGUUGCACUAUCGUUAACUGAAUACAUAGGUUAACGAGGCGAACCGGGGGAACUGAAACAUCUAAGUACCCCGAGGAAAAGAAAUCAACCGAGAUUCCCCCAGUAGCGGCGAGCGAACGGGGAGCAGCCCAGAGUCUGAAUCAGCUUGUGUGUUAGUGGAACGGUCUGGAAAGUCCGACGGUACAGGGUGAUAGUCCCGUACACCAAAAUGCACAGGCUGUGAACUCGAAGAGUAGGGCGGGACACGUGGUAUCCUGUCUGAAUAUGGGGGGACCAUCCUCCAAGGCUAAAUACUCCUGACUGACCGAUAGUGAACCAGUACCGUGAGGGAAAGGCGAAAAGAACCCCGGCGAGGGGAGUGAAAAAGAACCUGAAACCGUGUACGUACAAGCAGUGGGAGCACCUUCGGGUGUGACUGCGUACCUUUUGUAUAAUGGGUCAGCGACUUAUAUUCUGUAGCAAGGUUAACCGUAUAGGGGAGCCGCAGGGAAACCGAGUCUUAACUGGGCGUUAAGUUGCAGGGUAUAGACCCGAAACCCGGUGAUCUAGCCAUGGGCAGGUUGAAGGUUGGGUAACACUAACUGGAGGACCGAACCGACUAAUGUUGAAAAAUUAGCGGAUGACUUGUGGCUGGGGGUGAAAGGCCAAUCAAACCGGGAGAUAGCUGGUUCUCCCCGAAAGCUAUUUAGGUAGCGCCUCGUGAACUCAUCUUCGGGGGUAGAGCACUGUUUCGGCUAGGGGGUCAUCCCGACUUACCAACCCGAUGCAAACUACGAAUACCGAAGAAUGUUAUCACGGGAGACACACGGCGGGUGCUAACGUCCGUCGUGAAGAGGGAAACAACCCAGACCGCCAGCUAAGGUCCCAAAGUCAUGGUUAAGUGGGAAACGAUGUGGGAAGGCACAGACAGCCAGGAUGUUGGCUUAGAAGCAGCCAUCAUUUAAAGAAAGCGUAAUAGCUCACUGGUCGAGUCGGCCUGCGCGGAAGAUGUAACGGGGCUAAACCAUGCACCGAAGCUGCGGCAGCGACACUAUGUGUUGUUGGGUAGGGGAGCGUUCUGUAAGCCUGCGAAGGUGUGCUGUGAGGCAUGCUGGAGGUAUCAGAAGUGCGAAUGCUGACAUAAGUAACGAUAAAGCGGGUGAAAAGCCCGCUCGCCGGAAGACCAAGGGUUCCUGUCCAACGUUAAUCGGGGCAGGGUGAGUCGACCCCUAAGGCGAGGCCGAAAGGCGUAGUCGAUGGGAAACAGGUUAAUAUUCCUGUACUUGGUGUUACUGCGAAGGGGGGACGGAGAAGGCUAUGUUAGCCGGGCGACGGUUGUCCCGGUUUAAGCAUGUAGGCUGAUUGUCCAGGCAAAUCCGGAUAAUCAAGGCUGAGGUGUGAUGACGAGGCACUACGGUGCUGAAGUAACAAAUGCCCUGCUUCCAGGAAAAGCCUCUAAGCAUCAGGUAACAUUAAAUCGUACCCCAAACCGACACAGGUGGUCAGGUAGAGAAUACCAAGGCGCUUGAGAGAACUCGGGUGAAGGAACUAGGCAAAAUGGUGCCGUAACUUCGGGAGAAGGCACGCUGGUGUGUAGGUGAAGUCCCUGCGGAUGGAGCUGAGACCAGUCGAAGAUACCAGCUGGCUGCAACUGUUUAUUAAAAACACAGCACUGUGCAAACACGAAAGUGGACGUAUACGGUGUGACGCCUGCCCGGUGCCGGAAGGUUAAUUGAUGGGGUUAUCCGUAAGGAGAAGCUCUUGAUCGAAGCCCCGGUAAACGGCGGCCGUAACUAUAACGGUCCUAAGGUAGCGAAAUUCCUUGUCGGGUAAGUUCCGACCUGCACGAAUGGCGUAAUGAUGGCCAGGCUGUCUCCACCCGAGACUCAGUGAAAUUGAACUCGCUGUGAAGAUGCAGUGUACCCGCGGCAAGACGGAAAGACCCCGUGAACCUUUACUAUAGCUUGACACUGAACAUUGAGCCUUGAUGUGUAGGAUAGGUGGGAGGCUUUGAAGCGUGGACGCCAGUCUGCGUGGAGCCAACCUUGAAAUACCACCCUUUAAUGUUUGAUGUUCUAACGUUGGCCCCUGACCGGGGUUGCGGACAGUGUCUGGUGGGUAGUUUGACUGGGGCGGUCUCCUCCCAAAGCGUAACGGAGGAGCACGAAGGUUAGCUAAUCCUGGUCGGACAUCAGGAGGUUAGUGCAAUGGCAUAAGCUAGCUUGACUGCGAGCGUGACGGCGCGAGCAGGUGCGAAAGCAGGUCAUAGUGAUCCGGUGGUUCUGAAUGGAAGGGCCAUCGCUCAACGGAUAAAAGGUACUCCGGGGAUAACAGGCUGAUACCGCCCAAGAGUUCAUAUCGACGGCGGUGUUUGGCACCUCGAUGUCGGCUCAUCACAUCCUGGGGCUGAAGUAGGUCCCAAGGGUAUGGCUGUUCGCCAUUUAAAGUGGUACGCGAGCUGGGUUUAGAACGUCGUGAGACAGUUCGGUCCCUAUCUGCCGUGGGCGCUGGAGAAUUGAGGGGGGCUGCUCCUAGUACGAGAGGACCGGAGUGGACGCAUCACUGGUGUUCGGGUUGUCAUGCCAAUGGCACUGCCCGGUAGCUAAAUGCGGAAGAGAUAAGUGCUGAAAGCAUCUAAGCACGAAACUUGCCCCGAGAUGAGUUCUCCCUGAGACUUUAAGUCUCCUGAAGGAACGUUGAAGACGACGACGUUGAUAGGCCGGGUGUGUAAGCGCAGCGAUGCGUUGAGCUAACCGGUACUAAUGAACCGUGAGGCUUAACCUU
rnacentral:rRNA from 3 species